GUGACGAUAGCCUAGGAGAUACACCUGUACCCAUACCGAACACAGAAGUUAAGCCCUAGAACGCCGGAAGUAGUUGGGGGUUGCCCCCUGUGAGAUAGGGAAGUCGCUUAGC
rnacentral:rRNA from 6 species